UACAGAGACCUCAAGCGUUAUCCGGAAUCAUUGGGCGUAAAGCGUACCGAUAGGUUGUUUAUUAAGUCUUGGGUAAAAGCCGGAAGCUCAACUUCCGCGUUUGCUUAAGAUACUAAUAGACUAGAGGGGCAAAGAGGUGCUUGGAACCAACGGUGUAGUAGUGAAAUGCGUUGAUAUCGUUGGGAACACCGAAAGCGAAGGCAGAGCACUGGGUGCCACCUGACACUGCUAGGACGAAAGCGUGGGGAGCAAACAGG
rnacentral:rRNA from 1 species